UGAGGGCUGCACUGCUGGUCUCUUUAUUAAAUAGGUCAGCAGGCCCUGACAGUUGGCACCCAUCUGCAGCCUGGGAGCUGUGUGAUGAAAGCCAUAUUAUGGCAGGCUCCAGGGUAUCUUUUCAUCUGUCCUACUUGGUGCGGCAUGUUCCAGCUGGAGACUGGCAGGGUGCUGGUGCUAAACCCUGCCCUGCUGCUGUUCCCUGGUGACAGCAGCAGUAUCCUGGCUCCUCAUCCUGUGUUCAGAUCCCAGCUCCCUUUGACUGCCAUGGAAACUGCUGCUGCCAUCACAGUUCUGGGAUACACUGAGAUUUUCAGACUCAGGCACGUUGUUCUGGGAAGGGAGGAACCUCUCUGCAAACUGAUGUGCUCUUGAGGUGCUUCCUGUAGUCUGUAUUAGGCUACACCAGGUCUGCAUUUUGGACCAUCUUCUCCUUCCACUGCAGAAGCCUGAUGCUGUACCUGGUUUUGGUGCUGUACAUCCUUAUUCCUGAACACCACUCAGCAGAGAGUUCCUUGACAGGUUAAUGGGGUACAUGGACAGGAGGCUUCUGCUUUAUCCCCUGCAGCCCUGACAAUUGGAGGUGUUGCCUGGCUCAGCUCCUAGAGGAAGGAAUAACUUGCACUUCUCUCCAGUGAUUUCCCGAUGCUUACUGGUGGAUAGCAGACAUGAUUCACUGCAGAAGGUACUGCUGAGUGCUCCCAGACAUGAGAAGACAGGAGCUGGCUGUGUGCACUGCUGAUCAGAACACUUGCCAUAGAAGUGCAGAAAAGCUUGCCUGCAAGAGAACUGAUUGUUGGCAUGGAAGAAAAGCCCUAAAAUUCGGAGAUGCAGUCGACUUCCCGAAUACAGGCAAGUCUACAAUUGAAACUGAAAUCUGUGUGUCUGGGGAGAUAAAUGCUUUCAAAAUACACUUUCUGGAGAGGGCUGACAGGCCCAGAAUCAGUGAAACGAAUGCUCUGGCAUGAGGACAUAGUUAUGCUCAGGUAGUAACAGGUUUUGGACAGCUGUAGGGCUGCCCCACUGGGCUCUGUGCUUUGCACCCCAUCACUCCAUACCAGCUUCUUUUGAUCCCAGCGUCACUGAGCCAGGCAUCAGCUUUUCCCCACAAAGGCAGCCAAAGCAGCUGCUGCAGCUUGCAGAGAUCCUGAGACUACAGUGCUGAGCUGCUCUUCCCUCUGCUCAGCUCAGGGAGCUCCUCGGGGGAACAGCCCCUGAGUCAGGCCUUGUGGGGUUCCAGACUGUGGGCUGAGCACAGACAGGGGAAACAGCACCACCAGAGUGACUGAGAAGUGCUGAAAAGCCUCACAGUAACAGCCUACACAGUGAAAUUAUCUCUUCCAAUUAGCCCCCACGGUCAUCAGGGAGGCAAAUCCUCUGCCUCCUGGGCCAGGCAGGCUGGUUUAAAUGGUAGGCAUAAAUCUAUUGUUUUUCUCCUCAUGAUCCAGCAUAUUCUGCCAGGGCAGUGCAGACUCCAGAGAAGGAGCAGAAUUUCUAUGUACAAUAAAACAAUAGUUUGGGUGAUAUCAGCUGUUUGACAAACUUUAAUAUCCAUUUGCUAUAAACAGGCAGCAAUUGCCAGAAUGUGAUACCCAAAUAAAAAUCCAUGAUCCAUUUGCA